UACGGAGGGGGCUAGCGUUGUUCGGAAUUACUGGGCGUAAAGCGCGCGUAGGCGGACCUGCAAGUCGGGGGUGAAAGCCCGAGGCUCAACCUCGGAACUGCCUUCGAUACUGCGGGUCUCGAGUCCGGGAGAGGUGAGUGGAAUUCCGAGUGUAGAGGUGAAAUUCGUAGAUAUUCGGAAGAACACCAGUGGCGAAGGCGGCUCACUGGACGACUGUUGACGCUGAGGUGCGAAAGCGUGGGGAGCAAACAGG
rnacentral:rRNA from 1 species